rnacentral:rRNA from 1 species
UGACCUCUGACCUCAAAUCAGGUAGGAUUACCCGCUGAACUUAAGCAUAUCAAUAAGCGGAGGAAAAGAAACUAACAAGGAUUCCCCUAGUAACUGCGAGUGAAGCGGGAAGAGCUCAAAUUUAAAAUCUGGCGGUCUCUGGCCGUCCGAGUUGUAGUCUGGAGAAGUGCUUUCCGCGCUGGACCGUGUACAAGUCCCUUGGAACAGGGCGUCAUAGAGGGUGAGAAUCCCGUCUUUGACACGGACCACCAGUGCUUUGUGAUGCGCUCUCAAAGAGUCGAGUUGUUUGGGAAUGCAGCUCAAAAUGGGUGGUAAAUUCCAUCUAAAGCUAAAUAUUGGCGAGAGACCGAUAGCGAACAAGUACCGUGAGGGAAAGAUGAAAAGCACUUUGGAAAGAGAGUUAAACAGUACGUGAAAUUGCUGAAAGGGAAACACUUGAAGUCAGUCGCGUCGGCCAGAACUCAGCCUUGCUCUUUUGCUCGGUGCACUUUCUGGUUGACGGGCCAGCAUCGAUUUUGACCGUUGGAUAAAGGUUGGGGGAAUGUGGCACCUUCGGGUGUGUUUAUAGCCCUCGGUCACAUACAACGGUUGGGAUCGAGGAACUCAGUACGCCUUUGUGGCCGGGGCCUGUCCCACGUACACGUACUUAGGAUGCUGGCGUAAUGGCUUUAAAUGACCCGUCUUGAAACACGGACCAAGGAGUCUAACAUGCCUGCGAGUGUUUGGGUGGAAAACCCGAGCGCGCAAUGAAAGUGAAAGUUGAGAUCUCUGUCGUGGAGAGCAUCGACGCCCGGACCAGACCUUCUGUGACGGAUCCGCGGUAGAGCAUGUAUGUUGGGACCCGAAAGAUGGUGAACUAUGCCUGAAUAGGGUGAAGCCAGAGG